UCUACCGUUUGCCGAUUAGAAUCGUGCACGCGUUGACCACUGUUCUAAGAUCGGAAGCGAGGCUGGUGUGCAGUGCAUUAUGUACAUAGAGGAGAACCAGUGAGCAGAGUGUAGCUAACAGAGAGGGCACGCGAUAGAAAGAGCGAGAGAAUGACCGAUAGAGAAAGAGAGCGAGAAAGAGAGAGAGGGAGAGACUAUCGUAGCUUCGUGGAUAGUCGAAUCAGAUCGGGUGGAAUAUUGAAUCGAGUCGAACGAACGGCAUCCGAUCGAAUUCCAUUGGACCUUGAUGAAUCAAGUCGGAUAAAGUUCGAACAAACCUCUACUCGAUUUUGUAGAAACUCAAACUAGCCGAAAACGACGGACAUCGCACCCGCACUAUAAACGCAUCGCACACUGCACACGUUCGAUAAUCGAGUAAAUCGAUAUUGCUUCGCUCGGUCAAGGAUAUGCCGUGUUACCGGAAGCGUAUCGAUACUCAAGGACAACCAACUUCAUUCAGUCUUCGAUUAAUUGAAUUGAUCGAACACAAGCCAUGCGUUCGAUUUCUCCUGCUUAUGAUACGUGACACUGAGUUCAAUUUCAUGUUCUUAUUACAGUUACGUAUGAACUCAAUGGUGUAAGACAUGAUUGCUAAAAAUAUUCUAUUAAAAUAAUCAGCAAAGAGUA